rnacentral:lncRNA from 1 species
UUAGAGUCGUGUGGUAGACAGAGAUGAGGGAGAGGGAGAGGCCAGUGGAGUAGGGACAGCCAAGGAGAGCUGGAGAAGUGGCCAAGGAGAUACGGUGGGCUUGGUGGGAUCAAACAGAAGGAUCCUCAUGGCGCUUCAGAGAAGACAGACAGAUCUUAAGGCAGGUGGGUGGAUGACACUAGCGCAGGUCCUUGUAUGGGUUAAGCCACAGAGGGCAGGGAAGUGAAGGAUCAGCUAGGUUCUGUGGCGAUUUGGAGGUACAGGCCAUAGAUCUGCUAGUGCGUGGGCCGUGGGAGACGGGAAAGCCUGUGCCCAAGUGCCAAGACUUGUGGGUAAGAAACUGGGAAGGCAGAGCUGCUGCCAGUGGGGUGUACAGCAUGCGUGUUGGGGAGGGAGACUAAUGGGCGCCUUUGGCAUUGCUAUCUGAUGGCUAACGUUUAAAACACCGGCCUGUGCCUCGACAGGAGAUCUGAGGUCCUAGCAGCAUGGUUUUGACUGGGCCUCCUUUCUGACUCCCUUUCAAGGUCAGAGUGGCGCAGUCACGUGGGUCAUCCUAGGGUCUCAGGCACCACACUUUGGAGAUACCUGGUCAACACACAAUCUCUUAGUCUUGUGAAUAUUUCCCAAGAACUUGCCAUUUCCUGUCUCCUGUCCAGAAGGAGGCAAAGGCCACACUAAUGUUUAAAAGCCCGACACAUUUGUG